AACGAACGCUGGCGGCAUGCCUAACACAUGCAAGUCGAACGAGACCUUCGUGUCUAUUGGCGCACGGCUACGUACCGCGUGGGAACCUGCACUUAGGUUCGGAAUAACUCACCGACAGGGGUCCUAAUACCGAAUGGUCUCUUCGCACCUAAGAUUUAUCGCCUUUGGAUGGGCCUGCGUUGGAUUAGCUAGUUGGUAGGGUACAAGCCGUCCAAGAAGACGAUCCAUAGCUGGUCUGAGGGGUUGAUCAACCGCGAUGGGACUGAGACACGGCCCAGACCCCUACGGGAGGGAGGAGUGGUUAAUAUAGGACAAUGAGCGAGAGCCUGGACCAGCAGUGCGGCGUAAGUGAUGCAGGGCUUAGGGUUCUAAAGCUCUUUUACACGAGAUGUGAAUGACAGUACCGGGAGAAUAAGCACCGACUAACUCCGUG
rnacentral:rRNA from 1 species